UACGGAGGGUGCAAGCGUUAUCCGGAUUCACUGGGUUUAAAGGGUGCGUAGGUGGGCUUGUAAGUCAGUGGUGAAAUCUCCGGGCUUAACUCGGAAACUGCCAUUGAUACUAUAAGUCUUGAAUACCAUGGAGGUGAGCGGAAUAUGUCAUGUAGCGGUGAAAUGCUUAGAUAUGACAUAGAACACCAAUUGCGAAGGCAGCUGCUACGCGGUUAUUGACACUGAGGCACGAAAGCGUGGGGAUCAAACAGGAGU
rnacentral:rRNA from 1 species